rnacentral:rRNA from 1 species
UGGGGAAUAUUGGACAAUGGGCGGAAGCCUGAUCCAGCAACGCCGCGUGAGGGAUGACGGCCUUCGGGUUGUAAACCUCUUUCAGUACCGACGAAGCGGAAGUGACGGUAGGUACAGAAGAAGCACCGGCCAACUACGUGCCAGCAGCCGCGGUAAUACGUAGGGUGCGAGCGUUGUCCGGAAUUAUUGGGCGUAAAGGGCUCGUAGGCGGUUUGUCGCGUCGGGAGUGAAAACACUGGGCUUAACUCAGUGCUUGCUUCCGAUACGGGCAGACUAGAGGCAUGCAGGGGAGAACGGAAUUCCUGGUGUAGCGGUGAAAUGCGCAGAUAUCAGGAGGAACACCGGUGGCGAAGGCGGUUCUCUGGGCAUGUCCUGACGCUGAGGAGCGAAAGUGUGGGGAGCGAACAGGAUUAGAUACCCUGGUAGUCCACACCGUAAAACGUUGGGCGCUAGGUGUGGGGGCCUAUUCCAUGGGUUCCGUGCCGCAGCUAACGCAUUAAGCGCCCCGCCUGGGGAGUACGGCCGCAAGCUAAAACUCAAAUGAAUUG